AUCCAUCAAGUGAAACAGCUGUUGUGUUCCCGCAGGGCGGUCUUCAGGACGGAGAGGACGUCUCUCCUCAGAGCCAUCCAACCACAGACGGUGCUGUCCUGUGUGACAAACAGAGAGAAUCGCCCACUCAGCUGAUUGGUCCACACACUGUGACUAACACACUCAUCGUCCAAUCAUCUUUUUAAUGAGAACAAAGAAAAUUAAGUCAAUGGAUCAACAAACAUCGGGUUGUGGCAUCACAUGUCGUCAUGUGAUGCUACAACGUGUUAAGCUCCCGUCCUCCAGCAGCCGGUGCUGCAGGUUCUGGAAGUUGUCGAGUAUCCCUUCGUCCCACGUGACUCCGCCCUCUCCGACAGGUGAGGUCAGAGGCUUACCUGAGGGUGACUGGCUGUGGCGUCAGGGAAGGCGGAGUCUGGGAAGGAGAUGUUGACGUUGUACUGCAGGCAGUGGACAGGAAACGCCGCCCCCUACAGGACACAGGAGACAGAUGAGGGAUGAAGCUGCUUGUUGCCAGUCGACAUGGAGGGAAGCGUGAAAGGUCAUGGACUCACCAGGUCUCGGAGCAGGUUGUGCGUCUUCAGUACCACGUUCGCCUGCAGCUUGCAGGUCGGCAUGGCAACCACCAUCAGCUGGAAGCUGCACAGUUGCAGAAGAAGAAGGACGGACAAGGGCGUCAUGGUCCUGGUUCUAAAGGUUCUGACUGCUCCUGGUCUUCAGUGGAUCCUGGUCCUGAGCGUCGCAGCAGCUGGAGAAACGUCGUGUUGAGAGACGAGUGUGAAACAGAGUUAAUAUUUAUCUGUGUGUCGGACGCGUCAUGUGACACAGUUUCCCGUCGGCAGCGGUCAGAGAAGUUGAACG